AUGGCAUAAAGGAAACAGGCCGCGGGCGGCAGCGCGCGGGCCGGGCCGCAUUAGCGGCAGCAGGUGGAUCAGGCGGCAUCUGCGGGACAAUG
rfam:Clostridium asparagiforme DSM 15981 genomic scaffold Scfld6, whole genome shotgun sequence.